rfam:Perkinsus marinus ATCC 50983 gcontig_1104296761840, whole genome shotgun sequence.
GAGUGUUUGUCCGAGUGGUUAAGGAAGUGUACUUGAAAUUCAGCGGACACGGUCCGCGUAGGUUCGAAGCUCACAGCAUUCA